rnacentral:rRNA from 1 species
AGAGUUUGAUCCUGGCUCAGAGCGAACGCUGGCGGCAGGCCUAACACAUGCAAGUCGAACGGGCCCUUCGGGGUCAGUGGCAGACGGGUGAGUAACGCGUGGGAACGUGCCCAUCGGUUCGGAAUAACCCAGGGAAACUUGGGCUAAUACCGGAUACGUCCUUUUUGGAGAAAGAUUUAUCGCCGAUGGAUCGGCCCGCGUCUGAUUAGCUAGUUGGUGGGGUAAUGGCCCACCAAGGCGACGAUCAGUAGCUGGUCUGAGAGGAUGAUCAGCCACACUGGGACUGAGACACGGCCCAGACUCCUACGGGAGGCAGCAGUGGGGAAUAUUGGACAAUGGGCGCAAGCCUGAUCCAGCCAUGCCGCGUGAGUGAUGAAGGCCCUAGGGUUGUAAAGCUCUUUCACCCACGACGAUAAUGACGGUAGUGGGAGAAGAAGCCCCGGCUAACUUCGUGCCAGCAGCCGCGGUAAUACGAAGGGGGCUAGCGUUGCUCGGAAUCACUGGGCGUAAAGGGCGCGUAGGCGGACCUUUAAGUCAGGGGUGAAAGCCUGUGGCUCAACCACAGAAUUGCCUUUGAUACUGAGGGUCUCGAGACCGGAAGAGGUUGGUGGAACUGCGAGUGUAGAGGUGAAAUUCGUAGAUAUUCGCAAGAACACCAGUGGCGAAGGCGGCCAACUGGUCCGGUUCUGACGCUGAGGCGCGAAAGCGUGGGGAGCAAACAGGAUUAGAUACCCUAGUAGUCC